GUGCUCUCUUCAGCAGCACAUAUAAUAAAAUUGGAAUGAUACAGAGAAGAUGAGCAUGGUCCCUGUGCAAGCUGACAAUCAAAUUCGUGAAGUGUUCCAUAUUUUU
ensembl:snRNA U6 U6 spliceosomal RNA